GGGGCAGGAACUAUAUCAUACCUCCCCUUACACAGCCAUGUUGGACCCAGCAAUGAGAGCAAAUUGUUAAGAACUGGACAACUGUGACCACAGAGAGCUUGGAUUUAGCUAUAAGUAUAGUCCAGAACCUUCACCCAGGAAACUUCUCUUCGCAACACAGAAAACUACAUUGAAUUAGGAUGCAGUUAUGGAACCCAGACCCAGAUGGAUACAUCUACAAAACUACUUUCACAUCUAAGGCCUAGGCAUCAUUUAAUAAGAGGGGAUGAAACAUUCCUAAGAGCCAGAGGAUAUGUUUAUUUGCUGUGAGACUGUGUCUCAUAAUGUUCUCAACACAGGUGUGAGUUCUUCAGAGGCUGAUGGAACAAAGUUAUCUCAUCUUGUAUUUUCAGCCUAGUACCAAUCACCUAAUAAACCGAUUGCUUUGUAAAGUAUCUGAUGUCAGGCAUCCUGUACAAGAACAGUAAAUAAUAUAACUCCUCUGUUUUUGUUUCUCUUUUGUUUAGAAUUAAAAUGUCAAACAAAACACUGAGGAGUUACACCUGGAAGGCUUUGUUCUGAUCCAGAUGCGGGAGCUGGCUGAUUAUCUCCCCGAAACCCUGAGAAUUUAUAUCAUUGCACUUAGCAAAUAAAUAUGAUGUAUGUGGCAAU